UCCCCCUCCUCUGCUUCCUUUCUGCUGGAUGAGCAUGCUCCUCUAUGGCAUCUUAAUGCUUCCAUGUACUCGGACACGUCAGAGGCCAAAAUAGUGAAGCAAGUAACCGUGGACCAACACUCUGAAAACAGGAACCAACCAACCUUCCCUUUCUUUGAUUCGUUUCUCUCAAGUAUUGUCACAGCAGUGGAGAGCUGGCUAGCACUUCUCCCAUGGACAUAUUUCCAAGUGGAGCCUUCUGUCUCCCUACCUCAAUGGCUUACCAUAUGGAUCCUUCUGCCUAGAAUGUCUCUGAACUCCAUCUGUCAAAAUCCUUUAAAACAUAUCUCCGGGAACCAGAAAGAUGGCUCAGUGAUGGAGAUGUUGAAAUACUAACAGAACCACCUAGCCCUUCUUAUAUGUCUGAGAGCACUGGAAAGGAC